UACGGAGGGUGCGAGCGUUGUCCGGAAUCACUGGGCGUAAAGGGCGCGUAGGUGGCGUUGCAAGUCAACGGUGAAAGCUCGACGCUCAACGUCGAGUCGGCCGUCGAGACUGCGAGGCUCGAGCACUGUAGAGGCAGAUGGAAUUCCGGGUGUAGCGGUGGAAUGCGUAGAGAUCCGGAAGAACACCGGUGGCGAAGGCGGUCUGCUGGGCAGUUGCUGACAUUGAGGCGCGACAGCGUGGGGAGCAAACAGG
rnacentral:rRNA from 1 species